rnacentral:rRNA from 1 species
GACGGGAGGAGCAAGCGUUAUCCGGAUUCACUGGGUGUAAAGGGUUCGUAAGUGAUUAAGUAAGUCAAAUCUUAAAUAUUUCAGCUUAACUGAAAAUCCGGUUUGAAACUGCUUAAAUAGAGUGCGAAGGAGGAAAGUGGAACUGCCGGUGUAGCGGUGAAAUGCGUAGAUAUCGGCAGGAACACCAAUUGCAAAGGCAACUUUCUAUUUCGAUACUGACACUGAGGAACGAAAGCAUGGGGAGCAAUCGGG